GUUACGAUAAUAUUUAGUUAUACAAGUUCCCGAAUUAUUAAGAUCUAAUUAUAAUUAAGUAAUAUUUAGCUUAUGAUUGAUUAUGUUGUUUCAUAAACAUAUAAUAAAAUUAUAGUUAGGGAUGAAAAGUCUUCAAUUAAUAGGAUAUCUGGAUUUAGGUUAAAUAUAUGUAGUAUAAUUAUGACAUAUUUAAGGUUAUAAGGUCUUAAAUAGAAAAAAUAUCUAAUACUUUGGUUUACCUAAAUUUAAUAGAUUAUUAGGGUUAUGGGUUAUAUUUACUGCAAAUAGAGUUUGCCUUACUAUAAUAUUAUUUUUGUAUUUGAUUAUUUUUUUAAUAACUUAACUAUAAUGAAAAUUUUACUCAUAAUUAGACUAUGUUAUUAUUAGUAUAUAUAUAAAAAAAUUUGUAAAAAGAACUCGGCAAAAAUAUUUUUAAUUAUUCCGGACUGUUUAUCAAAAACAUAGCUUAAAGAAAAUAAAUUUUAAGUGAUCCCUGCCCAGUGAGUUUAAAUUUAACGGCCGCAGUACAUUGACUGUGCUAAGGUAGCAUAAUAAUUUGGCUUUUAAUUGAAGUCUAGAAUGAAUGGGUUUACUAGGAAUAUACUGUUUCUUAUAAAUUUUAUUUAAGUUACUUAUUGAGUGAAAAUUCUCAAGCUUAUUAAUAAGAAAGACGAGAAGACCCUUAGAAUUUUUCUAUUUUAAAUAAUCAGUAACAGAUUUAUUAAUAGUUUGGUUGGGGCAACCAUUAAACAAAUAAAUUUUACAAAUUUUUUUUAACCACCCAUAUAACAAUAUUAAAUUUGAGUAAAUUACCUAAGGGAUAACAGCAUAAUUAAUUAAAUAGAUUGUGACCUCGAUGUUGGACUAGGUAAAAUUAUUAGUAAGUCACUAUUAAUACUGUUCUGUUCGAACAUAAUGUACCUACUUGAUCUGAGUCAGACCGCUACGG
rnacentral:rRNA from 1 species